GACGAACGCUGGCGGCGUGCCUAACACAUGCAAGUCGAGCGAAUGAAGUUCCUUCGGGAACGGAUUUAGCGGCGGACGGGUGAGUAACACGUGGGCAACCUGCCUCAUAGAGGGGAAUAGCCUUCCGAAAGGGAGAUUAAUACCGCAUAAGAUUGUAGUGCCGCAUGGUACAGCAAUUAAAGGAGUAAUCCGCUAUGAGAUGGGCCCGCGGCGCAUUAGCUAGUUGGUGAGGUAACGGCUCACCAAGGCGACGAUGCGUAGCCGACCUGAGAGGGUGAUCGGCCACAUUGGGACUGAGACACGGGCCAGACUCCUACGGGAGGCAGCAGUGGGGAAUAUUGCACAAUGGGGGAAACCCUGAUGCAGCAACGCCGCGUGAGUGAUGACGGCCUUCGGGUUGUAAAGCUCUGUCUUCAGGGACGAUAAUGACGGUACCUGAGGAGGAAGCCACGGCUAACUACGUGCCAGCAGCCGCGGUAA
rnacentral:rRNA from 1 species